rnacentral:rRNA from 1 species
GAUCCUGGCUCAGGAUGAACGCUGGCGGCGUGCCUAACACAUGCAAGUCGAACGGAGCUGCUUUGAUGAAGUUUUCGGAUGGAUUUAAAACAGCUUAGUGGCGGACGGGUGAGUAACGCGUGGGUAACCUGCCUCACACUGGGGGAUAACAGUUAGAAAUAGCUGCUAAUACCGCAUAAGCGCACGGUUCCGCAUGGAACGGUGUGAAAAACUCCGGUGGUGUGAGAUGGACCCGCGUCUGAUUAG